AUGGAUGUGAUGAUUAUUUCCCCAGAUGAUCGAAGCUGAUUAUACUGUGCUACCAUUAAAUUUCUCUUUUUCGAGAAAUCAAGCCAGAAAUCUGAUCCAU